UACGAACUGUGCAAACGUUAUUCGGAUUCACUGGGUUUAAAGGGUGCGUAGGUGGGCAAGUAAGUCAGUGGUGAAAUCUCCGGGCUUAACCCGGAAACUGCCAUUGAUACUAUUUGUCUUGAAUACUGUGGAGGUCAGCGGAAUAUGUCAUGUAGCGGUGAAAUGCUUAGAUAUGACAUAGAACACCAAUUGCGAAGGCAGCUGGCUACACAAAUAUUGACACUGAGGCACGAAAGCGUGGGGAUCAAACAGG
rnacentral:rRNA from 1 species